rnacentral:rRNA from 1 species
UUCCGGUUGAUCCUGGCGGAGGUUACUGCUAUCGAGGUUCGACUAAGCCAUGCGAGUCGAAUGUAGCAAUACAUGGCGUACUGCUCAGUAACACGUGGACAACCUACCCUUAGGUCGGGGAUAAACCCGGGAAACUGGGUAUAAUACCCGAUAGUCCUCGGAUGCUGGAAUGCACCGAGGUCUAAAGCUCCGGCGCCUAAGGAUGGGUCUGCGGCCUAUCAGGUAGUAGUGGGUGUAGCGUACCUACUAGCCUACGACGGGUACGGGUUGUGAGAGCAAGAGCCCGGAGAUGGAUUCUGAGACACGAAUCCAGGCCCUACGGGGUGCAGCAGGCGCGAAAACUUUACAAUGCUGGAAACAGCGAUAAGGGGACCUCGAGUGCCAGGUUACAAAUCUGGCUGUCGUGAUGCCUAAAAAGCAUUGCAUAGCAAGGGCCGGGCAAGACCGGUGCCAGCCGCCGCGGUAACACCGGCGGCUCGAGUGGUAACCGCUAUUAUUGGGUCUAAAGGGUCUGUAGCCGGCCGGAUAAGUCUUUUGGGAAAUCUGGCAGCUUAACUGUCAGGCUUUCAGAGGAUACUGUCUGGCUCGAGGCCGGGAGAGGUGAGAGGUGCUUCAGGGGUAGGGGGAAAUCUUGUAAACUGAAGGACCACCA